ACGGUUCCGUCUGCUCUACAAAUGUUACGUGUUUUCAUCAUGACUUCUCAUGCGCACAAGAGAGCAUAUAUGUCGUAAGCUGAACUUCACAAUUGCGUGGAUCGUUUGGGAGGAUCACUGACACCUUCAAGACAACAGCCAUUUGGAGAGGUGCAUCGUGGCUCAUAAAAGACGUCGAACAGCCAGACUCGGUGGCUCAGCCUGUCAU